rnacentral:rRNA from 1 species
AGGGCACAGGGCGGAUGCCUUGGCACUAAGAGCCGAUGAAAGACGUGAUAAGCUGCGAAAAGCUUCGGGGAGGAGCAAAUAUCCCGUGAUCCGGAGAUGUCUGAAUGGGGAAACCCGCAUGAGAAGACCUCAUGCAUCCAUACGCCAAUCCAUAACGUAUGGAAGGGAACCCGGGGAACUGAAACAUCUAAGUACCCGGAGGAAAAGAAAGAAACAUCGAUUCCGUAAGUAGCGGCGAGCGAACGCGGAGGAGCCUAAACCGGUGUGCGUGCAUGCCGGGGUCAUGGACUGCAUUUAAGAUUCAGCGAGGUUAACAGAACGGUUUUGGGAAAGCCGGCCAGAGAGGGUGAAAGCCCCGUACGUGAAAACCAAGCUGACUGAGCAGGAUCCGGAGUACCACGAGACACGAGGAACCUUGUGGGAAGUAAGGGGGACCACCCCCUAAGGCUAAAUACUACUUAGUGACCGAUAGCGCAUAGUACUGUGAAGGAAAGGUGAAAAGGACCCCGGGAGGGGAGUGAAAGAGAACCUGAAACCCUGUGUCUACAAGCUGUGGAAGUGCCAUAUGAGCACAACCGCGUACUUUUUGUAGAACGGUCCGGCGAGUUACGCUUACUGGCAAGGUUAAGUCCUCAAGGGAUGGAGCCGAAGGGAAACCAAGUCUUAACAGGGCCAGAGUCAGUAGGAGUAGACCCGAAACCGGGUGAUCUAUCCAUGUCCAGGUUGAAGCUGCCGUAAGAGGUAGUGGAGGACCGAACCCACAUCCGUUGAAAAGGGUGGGGAUGAGGUGUGGAUAGGGGAGAAAUUCCAAUCGAACCCGGAGAUAGCUGGUUCUCCUCGAAAUAGCUUUAGGGCUAGCCUCGGUGUGAGUCUUGCGGAGGUAGAGCACUGAAUUUCCUAGGGGGCGUCAAAGCCUACCGAAGAAUAUCAAACUCCGAAUGCCGUGUAGAUAUCACCGGGAGUCAGACUGCACGAGAUAAGUUGGGCGGUCAAAAGGGAAAGAGCCCAGACCUACAGUUAAGGUCCCAAAGUGCGCGUUAAGUGGAAAAGGAUGUGGGAUUUCGAAGACAACCAGGAUGUUGGCUCAGAAGCAGCCAUACAUUCAAAGAGUGCGUAAUAGCUCACUGGUCGAGAGGUCCUGCGCCGAAAAUGUCCGGGGCUGAAACGCGCCACCGAAACUAAGGAAUCCGUAAGGAUUGGUAGAGGAGCAUUGCAUAUGGGAAGAAGCAGUACCGUAAGGAGCUGUGGACUAUAUGGAAGAGAGAAUGCCGGAAUGAGUAGCGAGAUAGAGGUGGGAAUCCUCUAGGCCGAAUAUCCAAGGUUUCCAGGGUAAAGCUGAUCUGCCCUGGGUGAGUCGGGACCUAAGGUGAGGGCGAGAGCCGUAGCCGAUGGACAACAGGUUGAUAUUCCUGUACUGCAGUAUAACAGAACUGUGGGGACACGUAAGGAGAGCGGGAGCCGGGAAUGGAAAGCCCGGUACAAGCGAGGUACCAGUAUGGUAGGAAAAUCCGCCAUGCAAUGGGAAGACGUGAUGUGGAGCGAAGAUUAGUAGCGAAGCCCGUGAGCCAUGCGUCAAGAAAAGCCGCUAUCGUUCNNNNNNNNNNCGAGGUACCAGUAUGGUAGGAAAAUCCGCCAUGCAAUGGGAAGACGUGAUGUGGAGCGAAAUCUAGUAGCGAAGCCCGUGAGCCAUGCGUCAAGAAAAGCCGCUAUUGUUUAUAUUGUACCCGUACCGUAAACCGACACAGGUGGAUGAGGAGAGAAUCCUAAGGCCGGCGGAAGAAGUAUUGCCAAGGAACUCGGCAAAAUGGCCCCGUAACUUAGGGAGAAGGGGUGCCUGCGAGAGCAGGCCGCAGAGAAUAGGCUCAAGCAACUGUUUAGCAAAAACACAGGUCUAUGCGAAACCGAAAGGUGAGGUAUAUGGGCUGACGCCUGCCCGGUGCUGGAAGGUUAAGAGGAGAGGUUAGACGCAAGUCGAAGCUUUGAAUUUAAGCCCCAGUAAACGGCGGCCGUAACUAUAACGGUCCUAAGGUAGCGAAAUUCCUUGUCGGGUAAGUUCCGACCCGCACGAAAGGCGUAAUGAUUUGAGCGCUGUCUCGGCAAUACAUCCGGUGAAAUUGAAGUGCCAGUGAAGAUGCUGGCUACCCGCGCCAGGACGGAAAGACCCCAUGGAGCUUUACUCCAGUUUGGCACUGGGGUCCGGUGUUGCAUGUACAGGAUAGGUGGGAGGCUGAGAGAUAGUGACGUCAGUUGCUAUGGAGCCGCUGUUGGGAUACCACCCUUGUGAUAUUGGGCUUCUAACCAGCCGCCGUGAACCGGCGGUGGGACAAUGCCAGGCGGGGAGUUUGACUGGGGCGGUCGCCUCCGAAAGGGUAUCGGAGGCGCCCAAAGGUUCCCUCAGAAUGGACGGAAACCAUUCGAAGAGUGCAAAGGCAGAAGGGAGCUUGACUGCGACACCGACGGGUGGAGCAGGUACGAAAGUAGGGCUUAGUGAUCCGGUGGUAUUAAGUGGGAAUGCCAUCGCUCAACGGAUAAAAGCUACCCUGGGGAUAACAGGCUUAUCACUCCCAAGAGUUCACAUCGACGGAGUGGUUUGGCACCUCGAUGUCGGCUCAUCGCAUCCUGGGGCUGUAGUAGGUCCCAAGGGUUGGGCUGUUCGCCCAUUAAAGCGGUACGCGAGCUGGGUUCAGAACGUCGUGAGACAGUUCGGUCCCUAUCCGGCGUGGGCGUAGGAUAUCUGAGAGGAGCUGUCCUUAGUACGAGAGGACCGGGAUGGACGGACCGCUGGUGGACCGGUUGGCUUGCCAAAGCCAUGGCCGGGUAGCCAAGUCCGGAAGGGAUAAACGCUGAAGGCAUCUAAGCGUGAAGCCCCCCUCAAGAUGAGAUAUCCCAUUCU